AAAAGAACCAAAAAACUUCACUUCACUUUAUCAUAAAAAAGUUAUUGCCAAAGCCACCUUCUGUUGCUUUAUAAUUGUGUUUGCUCGCAAACGAAAAAAAAACCGACUUCAAUUACAUCGAAGAGUAAUACAACGUAGAUCGACGAAAAAAAUAGUCAAGUAACUACGCGUUAUCAAAGAUUACUCAAAAAUUCUGAUGUAACAUACAUUAAAAAAAAAUACAGUCGAAUUGAGAACCUCCUCCUUUUUUGGAAGUCGGUUAAAAAUGCAAGGAGCCAUCGCUUCAAAUACCAGAGAAGAACUAACAAGUUGAGUCAACCACCGACCGUGUAGAAUGAAUACAAAAAUUGGUUGACCCGACCAAGGACACGACGGUCGGCGGUCGAUCCCGACCGUGUAGAACGCCUUUUAAUGAUACAAUAUU
rnacentral:misc_RNA from 1 species